AUUGAACGCUGGCGGCAUGCUUUACACAUGCAAGUCGAACGGUAACAGGCCUUCGGGUGCUGACGAGUGGCGAACGGGUGAGUAAUGCAUCGGAACGUGCCCAGAGGUGGGUGCUAACGCAGCGAAAGCUGUGCUAAUACCGCAUGUGAUCUGAGGAUGAAAGCGGGGGACCAAGCAGCAAUGUUUGGCCUCGCGCCUCUGGAGCGGCCGAUGUCAGAUUAGGUAGUUGGUGGGGUAAAGGCCUACCAAGCCGACGAUCUGUAGCUGGUCUGAGAGGACGACCAGCCACACUGGGACUGAGACACGGCCCAGACUCCUACGGGAGGCAGCAGUGGGGAAUUUUGGACAAUGGGCGCAAGCCUGAUCCAGCAAUGCCGCGUGCGGGAAGAAGGCCUUCGGGUUGUAAACCGCUUUUGUACGGAACGAAAAGGCUCUGGCUAAUACCUGGGGCUGAUGACGGUACCGUAAGAAUAAGCACCGGCUAACUACGUG
rnacentral:rRNA from 1 species